UAAUAACUUCUCUUUGAAUCUCAUAAUAUUUAUAUCUCUGCUUCAGUUACGUAAAUUUGUAACUAGUUUUUUAUUGGAUUGGAAAAUGUCUUUCUAAAAACAAAUGUAUUUACUUGCUUGGCAGGAAUGUAAUUGUUAGAAUUUAAUUAUUCAAUUCUUUAUCCUUUCUAAUAGUAGCACCAAAAAAGUACUUCCAUUAAUUAUAUGUAUAUAUCUCGUACUUGUAUUUCUCUCCCUCAGCAAUGAUUGGUUUUCAUCAAUUUAAUUGGCAUUGAUUAUAUCCUAAUGCUCC
rnacentral:lncRNA from 1 species